rnacentral:tRNA from 1 species
GCCUGGCUGGCUCAGUCAGUAGAGCAUUCGGACUCUUAAUCUCAGGGUCGUGAGUUCAAGCCCCACGUUAGACG